UACGUAGGGGGCAAGCGUUAUCCGGAUUUACUGGGUGUAAAGGGAGCGUAGACGGCAAUGCAAGUCUGGAGUGAAAGGCGGGGGCCCAACCCCCGGACUGCUCUGGAAACUGUAUAGCUGGAGUGCAGGAGAGGUAAGUGGAAUUCCUAGUGUAGCGGUGAAAUGCGUAGAUAUUAGGAGGAACACCAGUGGCGAAGGCGGCUUACUGGACUGUAACUGACGUUGAGGCGCGAAAGCGUGGGGAGCAAACAGG
rnacentral:rRNA from 1 species